rnacentral:rRNA from 1 species
GAUGAACGCUGGCGGCGUGCUUAGCACAUGCAAGUCGAACGGAAAGGCUCCUGCUUGCAGGGGUACUCGAGUGGCGAACGGGUGAGUAACACGUGGGUGAUCUGCCCUGCACUUCGGGAUAAGCCUGGGAAACUGGGUCUAAUACCGGAUAGGACGAUGGUUUGGAUGCCAUUGUGGAAAGUUUUUCGGUGUGGGAUGAGCUCGCGGCCUAUCAGCUUGUUGGUGGGGUAAUGGCCUACCAAGGCGUCGACGGGUAGCCGGCCUGAGAGGGUGUACGGCCACAUUGGGACUGAGAUACGGCCCAGACUCCUACGGGAGGCAGCAGUGGGGAAUAUUGCACAAUGGGCGCAAGCCUGAUGCAGCGACGCCGCGUGGGGGAUGACGGCCUUCGGGUUGUAAACUCCUUUCGCUAGGAACGAAGCGCAAGUGACGGUACCUGGAGAAGAAGCACCGGCUAACUACGUG